rnacentral:lncRNA from 1 species
GUAGGUCCUCGUGUGCGAGCAACCUGAAGAGCUCCUCUUUCAUAAUGGUGAUUCUGGCCCUAUCCACACUGUCUAUCACCACGAUAACAGCAUGAGUUCCACGAUAGUAUGUUGCCCACGAUGUCCGUAGUCGGUCUUGCCCACCAAGGUCCCAUACCUGAGGCAAAUACAAACUUUUAGGUGCCCAGCAGAUACCUAAAAUCUGAAUGAAACCAUUAUAUUCACUAUCCAGUUUGUUCUUAAGACAAAUCUUAAAUAUAGAAAGGGCUGCUUCAAAAUUGGAUCUUUAUAAAGGACAAGCUGAAGAUCAUAGCAAGAAUAAGAUCCUGAUGCAAAUAAUUGAAGUCGAUGCUUGCUAGCUAAACUACUGCAUUCUGCAGUUAAGUUACUCGAACUAAAUGAGAAAGAAACAGUAACUCAACAAAGACGAUUAUAUUAAUGAAAAUGAUGGAAAGCAAAGAAUGGAGUGAGAACAGAAUCACCAAAUCAGCAUAGUAAACAAAGACAGCCUGUCCAAUUCAUCUUAUUUAAAGUGUCUCCAUCUCUUUACUUCAUGGCACAUAUACAUACAUGGAUAAACAAUUUCAUGUCAUUUCAUUAUCUGUAUAGAGAAAAAAAUCUCUUAAAAGGCUGAUUGAAUCUUAACUCGGUUGACGUUGUUGUUGUUGCAACAACCUGGAGAACGUAGGUUCGAAUGCGCUUAAAUGCAUAAUAUCCUCCACUUAAAGGAUCAGAGGUUAUGGGCAGUUUAGGCUUUGUAUCAAAAGGGAAAAAAAAAAAGGUCUCUUAAAAGAACCUAUGACAUAAGCAGGAUAAAUAUUCACAUCAUAUAAGGCAGUAGUAUGUUUUACUGAAAUCACAUAAUGCACUUUCCAUCAGAACUAGUAAAAUGAGCUUAUAGGUUUCUAAGUAGGUAGUACCAAAGCUCUUGACAGUUGACACACCCUACAGGAAAUUAGAAAACAAAUCUGUGAUACAUCAUAGUUGUAUAACCCGGGGUUUCAAAUCAUAAUGGUGUUGCAUUUGCUAUUUCAAGGCUGAGACACCCAUCCACCACCACUAAAAAAGCCUCAAUAGCAUUGUGAAAAAAAUAAUUCACAUAAAUUGUGGUUGAUUGCAGUUGCAAAUGCAGUUUAGCAGAAAUUAACUGAGAUAAAGGUUCACUAUUUCCAUUAAACUGAUACCCUUUAAAAGGAAAUUCUUGUCCUUUAACAAAGUAAAGAGAGAUAGAGUAUGAAAUAAGAUACAGUAACAAGUAGUGGGAUCGAAAACAAAAUAUCAAAACAUGUUGGAGAGAUGCAGAGCGAGAGACCACAUAACACAAACCAGGCCAAAACUCAAAAACUCAUGGUUCAAGCGGAAAUCUACGAGUUUAGGUUGUCGAGAACUAUCUUGUUGACUUUCUAUUUAUAGUCUUUGGUUUGCUUGUUGAAUACUUCAAGGCAGGAGGGAACUCAGGUCAAGGACUAGAGCAGGAGGAGGAGACGGGCAGGCGGUAUAAGCAGACCUGAGACAGGAUAGGAGGAGAAGAACGAAAAGAGAUGCACAAAAGAAAAAGAAGAGCGAGGUGGUGGUAGGGCCUGUGAGGGCCUUGAGAUUUUAGGGGGGUUUGGAUAGGAGGUUGUCAUUGGUGAAGUUCAAUAUGAAUUUAAUGGUUUUUGUAUUGGAGUUCCAAAAAUGAAUUAUCAACAGGUGAUCAGAGAAAGUGGCAGUGGACAUCUCCCUAGGCAUUUGGACUGAAUUUGAAUCUAGGAGUCAUCACUAUUGGGAGGGCUUUACCUGAAUACCACUCUGGCCUGAACAAGAUUUAGGGGGAUUUGGAUAUGAGGGGUUGUCAUUGAUGAAGUUUAUAUUUGAAUUUAAUGCUUUUUGUAUUGGUGAAGUUCAAAAGACAAAUUACCAACAGGUGAUCAAAAGAAGUGGCGCGGUACUUCUUCCCCCGGGCAUUUAGAUUAAGUUCAAAUCUUAGAGUCAUCACUAUUGAAAGGGCUUUACUAAAUACUACUUUGGUCCAAACAAAAUUAAGCUCGAACCUUAAAACGGAUGAGAGCACUUGCAGUUAUGCAAAAAAAAAGAGAGCUCCAAAAACGAACUUCUGAAUACUUAGCAUCAAAAGCUAUGUACUAACCGACUUCCCUUCAAAUGUGUGGAUUCAUUUCAUAACGCUCAUAAAACAAAAUCACAAUUAUGAAGAUAUUCACCAUGGUUCACAAUCAGCAAAAAACCCAUUUGAUUGGCUACAUAAUCAUGGCAUGAAAACUAAACAAAAUAUUUCCAAGUUUUAAACCUAUUUUAUUCAACCCCACAAACCUUUUCUCCAAGUCUAAAAGAAUCUACUAAGAAGAUUUCAAACCAUUUAACAACGCACUAAUACAUUAACAGGCCCUUUGAGUUUUGAACUUAUAAUCCACCAAUUUUUUCCACGAAAAUAAAAAACAAAUUCAAUAAAAUUAAUUAAAAUGAAAACUCGGAAAUUAAAUAAUUGAGAAACCGUAAAUAGCAUCUAAAAAUUAAAAAAAGAAAGAAAGAAUACCUCGAAACGGAUGUUUUUAUAAACAAGCUCUUCAACGUUGCUGCCAACAGUAGGAUGGGUAGUAACAACCUCACCAAGGUGAAGCUUGUAAAGCGUCGUCGUUUUGCCAGCAUUAUCUAACCCAACCACCAC